GUCUAUGGCCAUGCCACCCUGAACAAGCCCAAUGUCUGAUCUUGGAAGCUAAGCGGGGUCCUGCCUGGUUAGCACUUGGAUGGGAGACCACCUAGAAAGACCAGGUGCUGUAGGCA
rnacentral:rRNA from 1 species